AAGACCUUGCGCUUUUGGAGCGGCCGAUGCCUGAUUAGCUUGUUGGUAAGGUAAAAGCUUACCAAGGCUUCGAUCAGUAGCUGGUCUGAGAGGACGGCCAGCCACACUGGGACUGAGACACGGCCCAGACUCCUACGGGAGGCAGCAGUGGGGAAUUUUGGACAAUGGGGGCAACCCUGAUCCAGCCAUGCCGCGUGAGUGAAGAAGGCCUUCGGGUUGUAAAGCUCUUUCAGCCGGAACGAAACGGUUACGGUUAAUACCCGUGAUUACUGACGGUACCGGAAGAAGAAGCACCGGCUAACUACGUGCCAGCAGCCGCGGUAAUACGUAGGGUGCGAGCGUUAAUCGGAAUUACUGGGCGUAAAGCGUGCGCAGGUGGUUUUGUAAGUCAGAUGUGAAAGCCCCGGGCUCAACCUGGGAAACU
rnacentral:rRNA from 1 species